AUUGAACGCUGGCGGCAGGCCUAACACAUGCAAGUCGAGCGGAUGAAGGGAGAUUGCUCCUGUAUUCAUCGGCGGACGGGUGAGUAAUGCCUAGGGAGUUGGCUGGAAGUGGGGGAUAACGUCCGGAGACGGGCACUACUACCGGAUACGUCCUGUGGUAGACAGUGGGGGAACUACAGGUCUAACGCUAGAAGAUGAGCAUAUGACGGAUUAGCUUGUUGGUGAGGUAAAGGCCUACCAAGGCGACGAUGGGUAACCGGCUUGCGAGAGUGAUCAGCCACACUGGAACUGAGACACAGUCCAGACUCCUACGGGAGGCAGCAGUGGCGAAUAUUGCAAAAUGGGGGAAAUCAAGAUGGAGCGCCGUCGCGUGAGCGAAGAAGGCCUUCGGGUCGUAAAGCUCUGUACUAUGGGAAGAAAAGGACGGUACCAAAGAAGGAAGCCCCGGCUAACUACGUG
rnacentral:rRNA from 1 species